ACACCGGCCCCAGAUAGUGGAGGUGCACAUCAAAGGAAUGAUUUCGAUGAAAACUGAACAUUAAGCUACCACUAGUCACCUCCAGGGCAUGGGAAGAAAUGAUGUUGCCAGUUUAUAAGAUUAGAGGCAAACUGAACACAGUGUAGGCAAAGCACAAAGGGAAUCGUUACUAAUCAAUGAAACAAGAGUUCACAGCUUCAGUGUCAAAGAGAAUAUCUCAAAGCUACUAGCACAAAAGGUACAUACCCUUGACUGGUGCGUCAAUCUUCACAAUGCAGUACAUUUUGCAAGGCAUUUCCCUCUUUUGAGUUAACUGCAUACCCUUUUGUUCUUUUGGCAAUAGCUAUGUGUUUUUUUGGAUAUAAAGGAUUAUCCUUCAAUGAGGCCAUAUCCAGAACUUCCUCCAGAUAUAAGGCUCUGGCUUUUACCAUUCACAGAAUUCUCUUGAAUAGCUACGGAAGUACUUCCUCUUUAGUAGAAUUACGUUAACAGAUGGGCAUAAUCAGGUCCCCAAGUAAUUUGAUCUGAGGACCUUAGAAACAAUCUGGGUCAUAGCAUCGAGCCCCAAUUCCAUAAUCCAGAGUCUUUCCUCAGAGGUCUUUGAAACGUGUUCAUUUUGCCGUAGAGGAAGGGUGCCAGCAAGUCCUCUUCCUGGUGUGGUCAGCCCUGGCCUCUCAGCAACCCUGGGCUCCUGCUUGGCUUGGGACUGAGCAGUUCUCUUUAACUCCAACAGUCGCACCUCACAAGCACUACACAGUUCACUGCUGGAUAGUGUCCUCUGGGGUCUCGUUUAAAGGCUAGAAAGGACCCCUGAGAGUUAUUCUAUAUAUUACCUGAAAACCGAAAACCUCCAGGGGUUCCCUGAAGAACAAGACUCAAAGUCAAAGCUGGUGCAAAUCAAGCGCAGGGAUGCAUGCUGGAGUUUACAAGUGGUGACAACCACUGACCCCAGCACAGGGAAUUCCUCAACAGCAGCUCAAAUGGGGCUACUCUUGGGACAUUCGGAGGCCCUUCCUGAUCAACAUCAAUUUUGGUAAUCUAUCAAUGUAACGCUGGGACGUGGAUCGACAAAGAGCUUUGAUACGUUCCUUAAAAGCUACAGUCAAUGUAUGGCUUGUUUGGAAGUCAUACACCAUGACCUACAAGUUGAUCUUGCUGUGGCCACCAGCAAACCCUGGGAACCACGUGUGGGCUGCUGUCAGUGGAGCUCCCGGGGUGAUCUCUCAAGGCUUGGUUGACUCCCCAAGGCUCCCUUUCCUUCUCCCUCAAGGCACUGACGCUUCUCUUGUGUCUCUGAGCUGCCCCACUUACCCUGCUGAGCAGUUCCUCUCUCCUUAGGAGUGAUGGGGAGUAAGAUUCGGUUUUCCUAGCUCCAUAGCUUUGACACUUCUUGGAGGAGAAAAGCACAAAAGCCCUUCAAUGUACGGGUACCACUGCUCACAACAGCUCAUCCUCCGGCCCCGGGAACCUCACCGUUCUCACCUCACUGUGGGUAGUCGCUAAGAUUUUCUACGUGCCUUCUCUCCACUAGGGACUUAGUUGCUAUUCUCUUUUAUCACUUGGAAAGUUUCUACUAAUUCUUAAAGAGCCAUCUUAAGGCCGCUCUUCCAUGACCCCCUCUGACACUGAAGCUGAUUGCUCCUUUGUGGACCUUUGAACAUGCUGACAUGCCUAUUCCACCUUCAGAAUGAGCCCAGAGCAUGGCCCCGGCCCUGCCAUUUAACAGGUUUCUGGUUCACUCCUUGUUACCCACUGUUUCCUGAGGGAGAGUCUCUCAUUUUGAGACAACAUUUGAGAUAAGUUCCAGAAGACACUUUGGCCCCAGUUACUGGCUAAAGCACUGGCUCUUAACCUUAACCUUGGCUACACGUUAGAAUCUUCUCGGGAGCUUUAAAAAACCUUGGUUCUCAGGCCAUAUCGCAGACAAAUUAAAUCAGACUCUCUCAGGGCAGGGUGGGGUGGGGUCGGAGGUGAUGUCCAGGCCUGAACUGACACUACCCAUGGUAAUAAAAUGGCUUGAGCAGAUUGUCUGUCAGUCAUGAAAAUGAACACAUGGGUAUUCAAUUAUCAAAUACAUAACUGGCGGGAAUAAAUGAAUGAAAAAUAAGAAGAAAGAGAGGGGCUCCUAAAUUGGGAUGUUACUAAAGAUGCUGAAAUUCUAUUCCGGUCCUCUGUUAUUGCACCCUAAUGUGGGGUGUUCUCACAGUGACUCUUUUUCUAAUAUCAAUAGUUCCUGAGUGCCUUUUUCAGGCUGUACCGAGAAGCUUUUUAAAAUUUCUGGAGGUUGAAUUCCAACUAAUUUUCCUCUCCUCAAGUCCCCACCUUCUGUGGCACCCUGCUCUCUCUCUAGGAAGGCGCAAUUAGGGCAGAGGAGUGAACGUGGACAAACAAGUCAUCCGAGGGCUUCUGAUGGUUCUGUGUGUUUAACACGAGAAGGAUUCCUCCAGAGUCCACAGCUAUCCUGAGCUCUCCAUCCAUGUCCAGGGGAUCUCAGAGCAUAAAAGAGCUAAAGUUGAGACCCCUGGGGGGCAGAGAGCAAGUAGGGCCUUUCUAACAAGAUAAGCAGAUACGAUUGGUUUGAGGCGUUGCCUCUUACUGCCUUUAAAGGAAAGCUCCCCAACUGCUCCCUAGCAGAUCUCAGACAGGUCUGGGGAGCUCAGCACCGACCACUCUGGCUUCCGCUCCGACAGCAUCUGAGGAGCCAAGAGGACACAGGGCCCGCCCCAGGCACCACUCGGAGACCCGGGGGAGUGAAGCAACUUGUCACAUUAGAAACCUGAGCUUCAGAAGAUCACCAAGAGAAGACCUGAAGUCGGAAAGCAAAGAGGAGGAGCCCAGGAGGAACCCUGCCUACGGGAUCAGCAUCCAGCAGGCUCCCCCAGGACCGAGUCAUUACAAUUUAGGUGGGCUUAAUGCGUCUUCAUAUCAGAACUGUGGUAAUGAAAAAACCAUGGGGGUAAAAGCUAUCAUGGCAGAGAGCUUACAUAUUAGUUUGGGAGUCAUAAGCCCUAUUCUAGUGUUCCAACCAGUGGCUUUCAAACAGUAGCAGAACCGAUUCUUAACCUUUUUUUUUUUUAUGUAUAUAUAAGGAAGUCCAAUUCACAAAACUGCAGAAACGUGGAGGUCUGUCAGUUGUACUGUAUGCUGUGGGAGAGGGUAGGUAGGGUUGAAAGGUAAGUUUGGGGUCCCUGACAAGGCUCCAUGGAACCUAUAGUUUGAAACUCGGUCUCUCCACUGGUCUGUUGAUGGCGCAUAGAAGAAAGGUGCAUGGUUAUUUGGAGGACAGAGAAUAAAUGGACACAACGUGAAAUUACAUGAUAAAAGGCCUCGUGGGCCAGCUGUUUUUACAAUGUGAGGGGUGAAGUUUAACACAGGGCUGGGUGUCUGUGAAGUUUUCAGGGCAGAGAAACAUAUUGGUGGGACUGACGACACGAGUGGGGAACAGAUAUUUGGGGAGGAAAGAAGUGUUGCUGAUGACAGGACUGGCCCACGAGAGCUGUGGUCUGAAUGCUUCAAGAGAAGGCGGGACUCAGUCUCUGCAGAAACAGAAGCCCAAGCACAUGGCUUUUUUUGCAGUAAGUAUGAAAUUUGAUAGGUGCUUGAAUAGCCCUUUCUGUUUCUCAUUCUGCACAUCUAGCUACCUUAUGCCAGCAUUUCCUUCUACUUCUUGACUGUGUAGAGAUUCACGUUUCCUCCAAAUGGGAAAUUGAGAUGGAUCAAAGGAGAAGAAAAUCAUGUUCCAAGGAGCAUUCAGAAUCUUCAGUGGAUCUUCAAAGAACAGAAAAUUGCUUUACAUAAUCCAAGUAUGAGUACAAAGAGGUCUGGGGCAAGUAUAUCAAGGGUUAGGUGAGGCAGUGGGGAGUCACUACCGCAUGGUGCAUGACUCGCCAUGUUCCUUUCCUGCUACUGCAGUGAUGGGUGAGGUAUGCAUCAAGGUGGGGCCUCAAUCCUCCUGGGGACAGAGGGGGGACGCUCAGGUAGACCUCUGGCCUAACAUUGGCCGGCAUCCUGCAGGCUGGCGAGAGGCCAGCCUCUCCGUGGACUCUGCCUGGAUCCUAGAUCUCCCACCAUGGGACAGCUCUCCAGUGGGCACUGGCUGCUGCUCAUACCUGAGCCUCUGAAACCUUGUCCCUAAGCUGCAGCACUUCCUAAGUCCUGCCUCAGACCCCUGCUUUGACACUCUCCUCUCUGAUUAGACCACCUGGGUGCCCAUUCUGCUGUCUCAAGCCCAGAGCCUCCUUCUCCCUCCGGUUCCUUUGGAGUCACACAGACUUGGGAUUAAAUCUUAGCUGCCACACUCGUUACAUAUAUACACACGGGUAAGUAACUGCACGUAGGGACUUCGCUGGCGGUCAGUGGCUAAGGCUUCGCCUUCCAAUGCAGGGGGGGCGGGUUUGAUCCCUGGUCGGGGAGCUAAGAUCUCACAUGCCUCGUGGCCAAAAAACCAAAACAUAAAACAGAAGCAAUAUUGUAACAAAUUCAAUAAAGACUUUAAAAAUGGUCCACGUCGAAAAACAAAAAAAUCUUUAAAAAAACAGUAAUUGCACAUCCCUGAGCAUGUUUACUCUUUAGCAACACAAAGAUAAUGAUAAUAUCCACCUCAUAGCCUAUUCAAGCAGACGCGUAUUAGGUACUCAAGUUAUUGUUAUCUGGGGUGAUGAGUGUUGAUGGUUUUUUAAUAUUUCUUACUGAGAUGCUGCCUGUCAGCAUAUAAUCCUUAGCUCUUUGCAAUGUAGUUUCUCUCCAUGUUUGACUUACCUCUGUGUCAACGUCCCAGCCCUAGCCUGGGGACGACUGUGUCCCAGAUCCUCAAUUAAUGACACAUCCAUUGCUAACUGCUUGAUAUGCCUGCUCUCUCUUGGAUAAGCUCUCCAGAGGCACGGAAUCCUAAUUUAAUAUCUUGAGUGCCUGGCUCCACAAUCCAAUCAAUGACCAGCGAUGCGAUUUCACUGAGCUUAAUUUAUGGCUUUCUGCAGUUUCUUUCCCCCCCCAACUUUGCAUCCAUACUGUAGACAGAACGUUCUCUUUAAACACAGAUUGGGUCAUACCAUCACUCUACUUAAAACAUUUCUUGGGACUUCCUUGGCGAUCCAGUGGUUAAGACUCCACGCUUCCAAUGCAGGAGGUGCGGAUUUGAUCCCUGGUCAGGGAACUAAGAUCCCACGUGCCGCGCGGUGGAGCCAAAAAUUAAAAAACAAAAAAUUUUUGCCUCCCCGCCUCCAAUAAAAGGAAGUCCAAGGGUUUUAGCGUGGCAUUAAAAGCCCUUCAAAAUCUGGUCCCAAUGUGUACUUCCAAACCCACCUCUUCCCACCUCCCUCACACCCUCUGCUUUAAGUCACGUGGAUCUGCUUAUGGUUUUGCAAAUAAGCCAGGAGCUCUCAUGUUUCUGUGCUUUCGCACAUAUGUUGUUUCAACAAAAAUGGCCUUCCUUUUUGUUCCAAGUGGCCUGGUUAUAGUGUCAUCUCUUCUGUCAGCCUUCUCCGAUCCUUUGGGAGCCUUAACUAUUCUCUCCUCCACGUGGCUUCAUAAAAACUUACAUUUCGCAUUUGCUAUAUCAUAGUUUCCUUGUCUAUAUAUCUGGAAAAACAAGAUUUUAUUCAUCUCUGUACACUAAGGAACUAGAUUGGGCUUAGUAGAUGCUUAGUGAAAUGCUUGCUAAAUGGAUGGAAAGAUGGAUGGAGUUUCCAGCCAUCUGUGAUUGAUUGUUUGAUUGAAUAUAGGGUUCAGAGAGGAGAAUGGUGAGAAAAUGUCUUUAUCAUAGGCAGACGUAGGAAAAACAAGGGAGGGGGGAUAGGCUUUUUGAGUGGGAGAAGAGCAUUUAAACAUACUAUAAAAAAAUUAGCUAUUUCAAGGAUUGUAUAUGGUGUAAAUAAGAGAUAAACAUAGUACAGAAUAGGGGAUACAUUUCAAAAACUAGAGAUGAAGCAAAAUAAAUUAGCUUUAAUUUAGAAUAUGGUCAAAAGCACUAAAAUGU